rnacentral:rRNA from 1 species
GGGGGAUAUUGCGCAAUGGGGGCAACCCUGACGCAGCAACGCCGCGUGAAGGAUGAAGGUUUUUGGAUUGUAAACUUCUUUUAUUAAGGACGAAAAAUGACGGUACUUAAUGAAUAAGCUCCGGCUAACUACGUGCCAGCAGCCGCGGUAAUACGUAGGGAGCAAGCGUUGUCCGGAUUUACUGGGUGUAAAGGGUGCGUAGGCGGCUUUGCAAGUCAGAUGUGAAAUCUAUGGGCUCAACCCAUAAACUGCAUUUGAAACUGUAGAGCUUGAGUGAAGUAGAGGCAGGCGGAAUUCCCCGUGUAGCGGUGAAAUGCGUAGAGAUGGGGAGGAACACCAGUGGCGAAGGCGGCCUGCUGGGCUUUAACUGACGCUGAGGCACGAAAGCGUGGGUAGCAAACAGGAUUAGAUACCCUGGUAGUCCACGCUGUAAACGAUGAUUACUAGGUGUGGGGGGUCUGACCCCUUCCGUGCCGGAGUUAACACAAUAAGUAAUCCACCUGGGGAGUACGGCCGCAAGGUUGAAACUCAAAGGAAUUGACGGGGGCCCGCACAAGCAGUGGAGUAUGUGGUUUAAUUCGAAGCAACGCGAAGAACCUUACCAGGUCUUGACAUCCAACUAACGAAGUAGAGAUACAUUAGGUGCCCUUCGGGGAAAGUUGAGACAGGUGGUGCAUGGUUGUCGUCAGCUCGUGUCGUGAGAUGUUGGGUUAAGUCCCGCAACGAGCGCAACCCUUGCUAUUAGUUGCUACGCAAGAGCACUCUAAUAGGACUGCCGUUGACAAAACGGAGGAAGGUGGGGACGACGUCAAAUCAUCAUGCCCCUUAUGACCUGGGCUACACACGUACUACAAUGGAUGUUAACAGAGGGAAGCAAGACAGCGAUGUGGAGCAAACCCCUAAAAACAUUCUCAGUUCAGAUUGCAGGCUGCAACCCGCCUGCAUGAAGAUGGAAUUGCUAGUAAUCGCGGAUCAGCAUGCCGCGGUGAAUACGUUCCCG